CUCCUCCUCUCUCUCUCUCGUUCCCUUCUUCCUUUAUUUACUAAGCUUAUUUUAUCGAGGCACGUGGAGAUCACCGUUCACACGGUGUUCACGUUUACUCCGUUCAGUUAUUUAUAUUCUUCCUAGGGAUAUCUGACAUCCAUUCACUUCUUCAUUCAUAAGCAACGAAGCCUGUCGGUAUUUUCCUCCAGCGAUAACGGCCGCGCUGUGAUAAAAAUAUGUAAUGCGUAGUUUGGAGAACGUUUGGCGAACGGCAAAAGCACAGUACAGCCGAUUGACCUCGAACAUCUUGCGAAUCGAGUUUUUUUAACUGUUACCUGAUUUACGCAUUGAAUAGUUUGAGAAAAUGGAAAUUACGAAAUUUCAUAAAUACGCAAAAGAAUAAUUCCAACCGCGAAAUUCGCGAAAUGCGCAAGCGAAGCAUGGACGACCACCAAUUAAUCAAUUAAUCAAUCCUUGGCGAGUCCACUACGCAAUUACGAUGACACGCAGAUUGCGUGUUGGAUCCAACUUGGAGCAUGCGUGCAUCAGUAUAAUUACGUAAUUCCCAACAGUAAACCGAAGCCUAUGCCUAUGUACGCAGGUACAUUUCAGCUGCGCUGAAAGCGUGAAUUAAUUGGAUAAAAUUCGCAGAAAGAUGUGGAAAGAGUAUGAAGGAAGAGUUUACUUCUAAAUCUAGUUACCUCCAUUUUUUAUCCUUUUUCUGAUUCUGAAGGAGUCAAAGUACUUAAAUCACAAAGCGUGGAUUGAUCAAAUAACUCACAAGGAUUUAGAAAGAGUAUGAGGAAUCAGUGAAGAAUCGAAUUUUAUUUUUGAAUCCGGUCACAACAGUUGUUUUUUUUCUUCUGUCCUUUGGAUUUCCGACUCCAAAGAAGUCAAAGCAUGACAUGAAGCGUAAAUUAAUCGGAUGGUUCGUAGAAAUUUGGAAAAAGGAAAAAGGACGGAAGCUUUAUCUUUUUGAAUCCAGCGAUACCAUGAGUCUUCUUUCGUUAUUGGAACUUUUGAUUCCAAGAGGUCAAAGUAUCAUAUUUUAUUGCAUCCUAAUGGGCUAGAUAAAUGACUCUCCGUAAAGCUGAGAUCUUUCGAUUUACUUUUUCCAAAAACGAUCGAGUCUCCGAAUAUCGGUGUAUCUUCAAAGGACGCUGUCAUACUAUUUCAUACAUAUAAGGAAUUUUUAAAGAAUACUUCAUUAUAAUAGAGAAACAAAUAUACCAGGCCAUAUGCUGUGAAACUAU